rnacentral:rRNA from 1 species
AUUGAACGCUGGCGGCAUGCUUUACACAUGCAAGUCGAACGGUAACAGGUCUUCGGAUGCUGACGAGUGGUGAACGGGUGAGUAAUGCAUCGGAACGUGCCCAGUCGUGGGGGAUAACGCAGCGAAAGCUGCGCUAAUACCGCAUACGAUCUAUGGAUGAAAGCGGGGGACCGUAGGGCCUCGCGCGAUUGGAGCGGCCGAUGUCAGAUUAGGUAGUUGGUGGGGUAAAGGCCCACCAAGCCAACGAUCUGUAGCUGGGCUGGGAGGACGGCCAGGCAAACUGGGACUGAGACACGGCGCAGACUCCUACGGGAGGCAGCAGUGGGGAAGUUUGGACAAUGGGCGCAAGCCUGAUCCAGCAGUGCCGCGUGCAGGAUGAAGGCCUUCGGGUUGUAAACUGCUUUUGUACGGAACGAAACGGCCCUCUCUAAUACAGAGGGCUAAUGACGGUACCGUAAGAAUAAGCACCGGCUACCUACGUGCCAGCCGCCGCCGUAACAC